GUCUUCAUUGGCGCCGCCGCCGCGUUAUUAUGAAAUCAAAACGAUGAAUUGGGUUGGUUAUUUCAAUUUUAAAAAAACAAAAACUGAACGAUUCAGAGGGCACAAACAAUCACUUUGAAUUCGUAUUGAUCGUCAUUGUGUGCUAGAAUGACUCAUCUGUCGUGUCGCCGAACAGAAGCGCAGCACACACACGUGCCGUGUUUAAAUGAGAGAACGGCGUGCUGUUGCCAUGGUAACCGUCGUGCCCUUUACCCAAACAAAACGGCGAACAAACACAACGCGUUACGAAGAGCGGAACAGCGAAACAGUUCGCGGAGCGACAGUCACACACACGAGGGGGCUGCUCUCUCUCUCCACUUAUUUUUUUUUCAGAGAAAAUGACGCUCAAUUGAUAAAUAAUGACUGCAAAAAUAGUUUGUGUGUGCAUGUGGACGGAUGGAUGCGCCGUAUCAAAUUGUCUACUCAGCACCGUCGAUAUAGAAGAAAUUUAAAUAAAAAAACAAAACAAAAUGGAGACGGACGGCGACGAUUUUCUCAGCCAUUCGGUUCGGGCUCUUUUCAGGUGAAAAGGUCAGCGGAAGUUGCGAUGAAAAAGUUCACAAGUUCAAUGAAAUGACUGAAGGUUGUUUUCUGUGUGUGUGUUCAUAUUUUUUUUUCUUCUUCUUGGAAAUUCAUUUUAUUUUUGAAAUCUU